GAUGAACGCUGGCGGCGUGCCUAAUACAUGCAAGUCGAGCGAACAGACGAGGAGCUUGCUCCUCUGACGUUAGCGGCGGACGGGUGAGUAACACGUGGAUAACCUACCUAUAAGACUGGGAUAACUUCGGGAAACCGGAGCUAAUACCGUAUAACAUGUUGAACCGCAUGGUUCAACAGUGAAAGACGGUCUUGCUGUCACUUAUAGAUGGAUCCGCGCCGCAUUAGCUAGUUGGUAAGGUAACGGCUUACCAAGGCAACGAUGCGUAGCCGACCUGAGAGGGUGAUCGGCCACACUGGAACUGAGACACGGUCCAGACUCCUACGGGAGGCAGCAGUAGGGAAUCUUCCGCAAUGGGCGAAAGCCUGACGGAGCAACGCCGCGUGAGUGAAGAAGGUCUUCGGAUCGUAAAACUCUGUUAUUAGGGAAGAACAAAUGUGUAUGUAACUAUGCACGUCUUGACGGUACCUAAUCAGAAAGCCACGGCUAACUACGUG
rnacentral:rRNA from 1 species